rnacentral:rRNA from 1 species
AACUUCUGAAUGUUGACCUCGGAUCAGGUAGGAAUACCCGCUGAACUUAAGCAUAUCAAUAAGCGGAGGAAAAGAAACCAACAGGGAUUGCCCUAGUAACGGCGAGUGAAGCGGCAACAGCUCAAAUUUGAAAUCUGGCUUUCGGGCCCGAGUUGUAAUUUGUAGAGGAUGAUUUUGAUGCGGUGCCUUCCGAGUUCCCUGGAACGGGACGCCAUAGAGGGUGAGAGCCCCGUCUGGUUGGAUGCCAAAUCUCUGUAAAUCUCCUUCGACGAGUCGAGUAGUUUGGGAAUGCUGCUCUAAAUGGGAGGUAUAUGUCUUCUAAAGCUAAAUACCGGCCAGAGACCGAUAGCGCACAAGUAGAGUGAUCGAAAGAUGAAAAGCACUUUGAAAAGAGAGUUAAAAAGUACGUGAAAUUGUUGAAAGGGAAGCGUUUAUGACCAGACUUGGGCUUGGAUAAUCAUCUGGGGUUCUCUCCAGUGCACUUUUCCAGCCCAGGCCAGCAUCAGUUUUCGCCGGGGGAUAAAGACUUCGGGAAUGUGGCUCCCCUCGGGGAGUGUUAUAGCCCGUUGUGUAAUACCCUGGUGGGGACUGAGGUUCGCGCUUCUGCAAGGAUGCUGGCGUAAUGGUCAUCAACGACCCGUCU